UAGGGAAUCUUCGGCAAUGGACGGAAGUCUGACCGAGCAACGCCGCGUGAGUGAAGAAGGUUUUCGGACCGUAAAGCUCUGUUGUAAGAGAAGAACGAGUGUGAGAGUGGAAAGUUCACACUGUGACGGUAUCUUACCAGAAAGGGACAGCUAACUACGUGCCAGCAGCCGCGGUAAUACGUAGGUCCCGAGCGUUGUCCGGAUUUAUUGGGCGUAAAGCGAGCGCAGGCGGUUAGAUAAGUCUGAAGUUAAAGGCUGUGGCUUAACCAUAGUACGCUUUGGAAACUGUUUAACUUGAGUGCAAGAGGGGAGAGUGGAAUUCCAUGUGUAGCGGUGAAAUGCGUAGAUAUAUGGAGGAACACCGGUGGCGAAAGCGGCUCUCUGGCUUGUAACUGACGCUGAGGCUCGAAAGCGUGGGGAGCAAACAGGAUUAGAUACCCUGGUAGUCCACGCCGUAAACGAUGAGUGCUAGGUGUUAGACCCUUUCCGGGGUUUAGUGCCACAGCUAACGCAUUAAGCACUCCGCCUGGGGAGUACGACCGCAAGGUUG
rnacentral:rRNA from 1 species